rnacentral:ncRNA from 1 species
AUAAUGAUACUCCCGUUCAGUCACAGUCCGAGUGCAUACUUUUUUUUGAUGAGAAAGCACCGCAGGCAAUGAGGGCGGCUUUGUCAGACCGGUAAGGGGGUGUGAUUCCCGUG